rnacentral:rRNA from 1 species
UACGGAGGAUGCAAGCGUUAUCCGGAAUGAUUGGGCGUAAAGCGUCCGCAGGUGGCUGUGUAAGUCUGCUGUUAAAGAGUCUAGCUCAACUAGAUACGAGCAGUGGAAACUACACGGCUAGAGUACGUUCGGGGCAGAGGGAAUUCCUGGUGUAGCGGUGAAAUGCGUAGAGAUCAGGAAGAACACCGGUGGCGAAGGCGCUCUGCUAGGCCGUAACUGACACUGAGGGACGAAAGCUAGGGGAGCGAAUGGG